CCGACGGAUAUUUUCGUCGCGCCGGCGGCGCGCCGCCGCAUCGCCGCCCAUGCCGCGGCCGGUCGCGAUUCAGAUUGAGAAUCGUUCAGCCACGCCGCGGCCCGACUUUCCGAGCGUCCGACUUUCUUAUCGCCCGCCUUUCCGAUCGUGCGAUUCCGACGCCGACGCAAAUGCCGCCGACAUGCCGCCCGCCGCGCGCGUACCCGGCACGCUCAUUGGGCGGCCACGCCGCUCGCCGCGUCGAGCGCCGCCGCAUCGCGCUCGGGCGCCGGCUGCGACGGCAUGUACUUGUCGAGCAGCGCCUGCGCGAUCGCGUCGGUCUCCGCAUCCGGGUUGCCCGCGUAAUCGGUCGGCCGGAAAUGCAUCUGGAACGCGGAGAACACGCGCCGCGUGCGGUCGUCGAGCACGCCGUCCGUCGCGACGUCGUAACCGUAGCGCGCGAGCUUCAGCUGCAGCUCGCGCACGUCGACGAGCGACUUCGGCGGGCGGCCCGCGAGGCGCGCGGCCACCGUCUCGUCGUCCGGCCACGCGCCGACGCCCGCCUUCGCGAGCGCGCGCCACGGAAACAGCGGGCCCGGAUCGAUCUUGCGCUGCGGCGCGAUGUCGCUGUGGCCGACGACGCGCGUCGGCGGAAUCCGAUAGCGGGCGACGAUAUCCUUCGCCAGCCGAACGAUCGCGUCGACCUGCGCGGGCGGAUACGGCGCCCACAUGCGGCCGUGCGGCGUAUCGAUCGGGCCGCGGUUGACGUUCUCGAUGCCGAUCGACACGCCGUUCAGCUCGGUCGCGCCCUGCCACGCGCUCACGCCCGCGUGCCAUGCGCGCUCGCUUUCCGGCACGAGCUGAUAGACGACGGGCGCGCCCCGCUCGGUGCGCGGCGCGUCGGGCACGACGUAAUGGGCGCUGACGUUCUCCUGCGUCAACACGCGCAGCGACGGCGCUUCGCCGAUCUCGGUGUAGUGCAUGACGAGGAAGCGGAUGCGCGAAUCGGCGCUGCGCGCGGGAAGGCUCGUGUCGGCGUAGUAAUCGCCGCGAUUGACGAGCGUGGGCGUCGUACAGGCGGCGGCGAGCAUGCUGAAGCUCGCGAGAAGCGUAUGGCGCAGGGGAAAUUUCAUGAUGACGGCGCUCGGUGAAUCGACGGUCGCCGGGACGGGCGUCCCGGCACGAGCGCCUCAUUCUAGACGCUUCGUCGCUCGCAUUCCUGCGCGUUUCGUGUCUCUUUUGCGAAAGCGGCUGCGCGCCGCGCCCGCGCGAAGGCCGAGCGCGGCGUGCAGGCAAGCGGCGCGGGCGCGGCACGUCCGGUCCGCGCGG
rnacentral:rRNA from 1 species